UACGAAGGGGGCUAGCGUUGCUCGGAAUCACUGGGCGUAAAGCGCACGUAGGCGGACUCUUAAGUCAGGGGUGAAAUCCUGGAGCUCAACUCCAGAACUGCCUUUGAUACUGGGAGUCUCGAGUUCGGGAGAGGUGAGUGGAACUGCGAGUGUAGAGGUGAAAUUCGUAGAUAUUCGCAAGAACACCAGUGGCGAAGGCGGCGCACUGGCCCGAUACUGACGCUGAGGUGCGAAAGCGUGGGGAGCAAACAGG
rnacentral:rRNA from 1 species